rnacentral:rRNA from 1 species
AUGGAGGCCGACUCCGGGAAGCUCUUCGUCGGCGGCAUCUCCUGGGAGACGGACGAGGACCGCCUCCGUGAAUACUUUGGCCGCUUCGGCGAGGUCACCGAGGCUGUCAUCAUGCGGGACCGCAACACCGGCCGCGCCCGCGGCUUCGGCUUCAUAGUCUUCGCCGAGGCGGGCGUUGCUGAGCGAGUCACCAUGGACAAGCACAUGAUCGAUGGCCGCAUGGUCGAAGCCAAGAAAGCUGUUCCCAGGGAUGACCAGAGCAUUGCAAGCAAGAACAAUGGCAGCAGCAUAGGCUCGCCUGGGCCAGUCCGUACCAGAAAGAUCUUUGUUGGGGGGCUGGCCUCCAAUGUUACUGAGGUUGAAUUCAGAAGGUAUUUUGAGCAAUUCGGUAUGAUAACAGAUGUGGUUGUCAUGUACGACCACAACACACAGAGGCCCAGGGGCUUUGGCUUCAUCACCUAUGAUUCAGAAGAUGCAGUGGAUAAGGCGCUGCACAAGAACUUCCACGAGCUUAAUGGCAAGAUGGUUGAAGUCAAGAGAGCUGUCCCAAAGGAGCAGUCGCCUGGACCUGUCGCACGCUCACCUGCUGGAGGGCAGAACCUUGCUAUCAGCAGGGUUCACAACUUCUUGAAUGGCUUCAACCAGGGAUAUAGCCCAAACCCGAUAGGAGGUUACGGCAUGAGAGUGGAUGGAAGGUUUGGGCUGCUUUCAGGUGCACGAAAUGGGUUUUCUUCAUUUGGCCCCAGUUAUGGAAUGGGCAUGAAUGUUGAAACUGGGAUGAAUGCGAAUUUUGGUGCAAACUCUAGUUUCCUCAAUAACUCAAAUGGGCGGCAAAUGGGUUCAUACUACAAUGGUGGUUCAAACAGACUAGGCAGCCCUAUUGGGUAUGUUGGUCUGAAUGACGAUUCAGGAUCAAUAUUGAGUUCAAUGGGAAGGAAUGUUUGGGGUAAUGGAAAUGUCAACUACCAGAACAGCCCUGCAAACAUGAGUUCUUUUGUACCAUCUGGAAGUGGGAGUCAAGUUGGUAUUACUGGCGACAGUAUAAAUUGGGGAGGUCCUUCUGCCCAUGGGAUGGGAAGCAUUUCAAGCCUUGGGUCUAACAUUGGCCGUGGGGCUGGAGAUAACUUUGGUUUGCCGUCUGGCGGCUAUGGAAGGAGCAACCCAACUGGCACCAUUGGUGAACCUUUUUCUGCAUCAGCCAAUGCAUAUGAAAUGAACAACAUAGAUACAUAUGGCAACAACUCUAUUUAUGGUGACUCAACCUGGAGGUUCACGUCAUCUGAGAUAGAUAUUCCUCCUUUUGAUAAUGAUCUUGGAAAUAUCGAUCCAGAUAUCAAAUCGAACAUGCCAGCAAGUUACAUGGGCAACUAUACUGUUAAUAAUAAUCAGACAAGCAGAGUUGAGGGUAAAUGA